CUGCCAUUUUCCCAGUCCUGGACAGUUUGGUUUUGCUUUUCGACCCCAGGUUUCCGGACCAGACUGUCCUGUUACAUGCCAGGCUGCUCUCAGCUCUCUAGACACAGUGCUGCUCACGUAGGGUGUGCUGGGGAGGGGGCGAUUAGAUCCCCAAACCCUAAUGGUGGGACCCCCCCUUCCCCCUCGGGGAUGAGAGAGGUACAGGUCUUGGGAGGAGGGUGCGAGAGGAGAGAGACAGACAGGCACAGACGUGUUACCUGCAGCACUGCCGGAGAGGCGCCAGGAUGGAGGGCUCGUCGCGGGAGUGGCGUCCAAACCUGCGGCACAGGUGAGCACAGGUGCGCUCGGGUGAGCACAGGUGCGCUCGGGUGAGCACAGGUGCGCACGGGUGAGCACAGGUGAGCACAGGUGCGCUCGGGUGAGCACAGGUGCGCUCGGGUAGGCACAGGUGAGUACAGGUGCGUUCGGGUGGGCACAGGUGAGCAUAGGUGGGCUCAGGUGGGCACAGGUGAGCUCGGGUGGGCACAGGUGAGCACAGGUGCGCUCGGGUGGGCACAGGUGCGCACAGGUGAGUACAGGUGAGUACAGGUGCGCUCGGGUGGGCACAGGUGAGCAUAGGUGAGCUCGGGUGGGCACAGGUGAGCACAGGUGCGCUCGGGUGGGCACAGGUGAGCAGGGGGCGUGUGGGGGUGGGCUGUGGCUGCACUGCACACACGCAGCACCAGCGCCCACAGGGACCCCCCGGGAGGAGAGGGGAGGGACUGUUGCAGGAAGAAGCAUCACUUGUCAACCGCAACACAAUCGCGAGCAAGAGGUGAAGGAGGUCUUGAAGACCGGCCCAGGUCUCGCCAGCAGAGACGGAUUCAGGUACAGCAGGUUCAGAUUGAGCCACACGAAAGGAACAGGGCUCUCGGUUUACUGGCAGGGCCGACCCGAGCUGACGGCCGCACCCUCUCACCUUCUCCUGUAAGGCAACGAGCCGCUGCUGACCAAUCCUGAACCUCGACACUGCACGGAACACUUGCUCGCCUCAACCUGUUAACUUCUUAAUCUCU
rnacentral:lncRNA from 1 species